rnacentral:rRNA from 1 species
GACGAACGCUGGCGGCGUGCCUAAUACAUGCAAGUAGAACGCUGAAGAGAGGAGCUUGCUCUUCUUGGAUGAGUUGCGAACGGGUGAGUAACGCGUAGGUAACCUGCCUUGUAGCGGGGGAUAACUAUUGGAAACGAUAGCUAAUACCGCAUAACAAUGGAUGACACAUGUCAUUUAUUUGAAAGGGGCAAUUGCUCCACUACAAGAUGGACCUGCGUUGUAUUAGCUAGUAGGUGAGGUAACGGCUCACCUAGGCGACGAUACAUAGCCGACCUGAGAGGGUGAUCGGCCACACUGGGGACUGAGACACGGCCCCAGACUCCUACGGGAGGCAGCAGUAGGGAAUCUUUCGGGCAAAUGGGGGCAAACCCCUGACCGAAGCAAACGCCCGCCUGAAGUGAAAGAAAGGUUUUUCGGAUUCGUAAAAGCUUCUGUUGUAA